GUCUAGAUAGCUCAACGGUAGAGCAUUGGAUUGAAGAUCUUUGUGUUAUGGGUUCGAAUCCCAUUUUGGACA
rnacentral:tRNA from 1 species